UGGAAUAUGCUUGUUUCAAAGAUUAAGCCAUGCAUGUCUGAGCAUGCGCUGAAGUAAAGUGAAGCCGCGAAUAGCUCAUUACAACAGCCGUUGUUUCUUGGAUCUCUUCUCUACUUGGAUAACUGUGGUAAUUCUAGAGCUAAUACAUGCAAUCAAGCCCUGAUCGUGAGUGACGGGCGCAUUUAUUAGAACAAGACCAUCUGGCUUCGGCCAUCAAAUGGUGACUCUGAAUAACUGAGCCGAUCGCACGGGCUCGUCCCGGCGACGUAUCUUUCAAGUGUCUGCCUUAUCAGGUUUCGUUGGCGGUUUAUGUGACCGCCAAGCCUGUAACGGGUAACGGAGGAUCAGGGUCUGACUCCGGAGAGGGAGCCUGAGAAACGGCUACCACUUCUAAGGAAGGCAGCAGGCGCGCAAAUUACCCAUUCUUGGCUCGAAGGAGGUAGUGACGAAAAAUACCGAGGUGAGGCUCAUUGAGCUUCACCGAUUGGAAUGAGAACGAUCUAAAUCCUUUAACGAGGAUCUAGU
rnacentral:rRNA from 1 species